rnacentral:ncRNA from 1 species
UCUUACAUAACUGGCGAAUAAUGGUGGGCAACCACCGGGGAAUGUAAGAGCACCUUAUGCCGAUCGCCUGGGCAAU